AAGAAGAACAAGUUCAUCCUAGGGAUUCAAGAUUCAAGUUUUCCUCCAUAAUUAUUUAAGAAUUCUCAAGAGAUUCCAAACCAUUUUCAAGGAAGACUUUGAUAAGUUCCCAAGUUGUUGGUGAGUCCUCAAGUCCGAGGACGAUGCCACUAUUCUAGAUUUACUAUUUGACUAUGUCUAAGACGAUGUUCAUUUCUUAUCUUUUGAGACUUUGUUGUAAGUCUAUUACAGGAAAUCAUGUAAUAGUGUAAGGGCUAUGUCCCAAACAUUGUAAUUAUCUUAUAGAUGGUUAUGUGUCAGACAAUAUUAGACUAUGUUGUUAAAUGAGAAGUCUAAGUAAACUUCAAAUAUGGGUAAAUUAGAAGUCUUUGUACUCUU